rnacentral:lncRNA from 1 species
AAAAGUAAGUAUAUAAAUAUACAUAUCUAUGAGGUUAGUUCGAUAUUAGUUUUCAUGCAACCCCAGCCCAUUGUUCUCUAUCUCUUCUUAAUUUUUAUAUCUCUGAAACUCGCAUGGAUAAGAAAAUGGUUGAUGUUAAAGCGUCGGUAAUGGAAUGCCAAAAAGCAAUACUUGAGACUGAGAAGAAGAAGAAGAAGACGAUAACGACGAAGAAGAAGAAGAGAGGAAGAAUCAAGCGAAAGAUUUUUGCCCUUUUGUAUAAAAAACUGAAGCUAGCAACCCUAUACUUCAUCGGUCAUUAUCUUCUUAGCAAGACCACCACCACCACCACCACCACCACCACCAACAACAACAAGAGUUUGAGUUAGCAAUUUCUUCCUUCUGUAUAUAUAUCUUGAGUUACUUUCUAGGCUUGUUGCUAAAAUCUUCCUUUGGUAAAUGCAUUUUGUUUUAAAGGAAUUGUGUUUGCUAUUGUGGUCUUGUUAAUAAUAAUCUUUUGAUGAGAUCUUCUAAGAAAACGAUUGUUGGAUACUGUCUAUUUUGAAUAUAUUCAAACAUUUAAAUUUUAUAUUUGAAGUACAUCUAAUAGUUUUUGGAUACGAUAUACGAAUAUGAAAUAACACACAAGAAAAACAAUAACAUGAGGAUG